rnacentral:snRNA from 1 species
AUCACUUCUCGGCCUUUUGGCUAAGAUAAAGUAUAGUAUUUGUUGUUAUCAGUUUAAAAGGACUGCCAAGUUUUUACCUGUUCCAUGGCUAGCAAUGCAUACACAAUAUUUUUUGCUGUUGUUGUUUUUUUGUUUUUAAGGCAAAAACAUCAAUAGAUACCUUUUGGACCACUUUGAAUGUGAAAUUCUUCCCCUUA